AUGGCUGAGGCCAGGAAGCGGCGAGAGCUGCUUCCCCUGAUCUACCAGCAUCUUCUGCAAGCGGGCUAUGUUCGCGCAGCGCGGGAAGUGAAGGAGCAGAGCGGCCAGAAAAGUUUCCCGACUCAACGGGCCACCCUUCUAGACAUCUACACGCAUUGGCAACAGACCUCGGUAGUCGGCCAGAAGCAGAAGGCAGAGGAGGAUGCAGCGCUCCUGGCCAGGAAGAGCCGUGUGUCGGACCCUGUGAGCACCUCGGAGAGCUCGGAGGACGAGGAGGAGGCAGAAGCCAAGACUGCCAACGCCAGGAAGACCCCGAGCCUCGUGUCUACCAACUCCUCGGUUGUGCGGGAGAAUUUACCGUCGAGUGAGAAAGAACCAGCCGCGGCAAACGCCAAGGGCGCCAGCAAAAUGGUGAAUUCCGUGCCACACCCUGUGUCCGGGAAGGCAGUGGCCCACCCUCUCUCUGGGAAGUCCCCCAAGAAGUUGGCAGUGCCCUCAGCAAAUACCACCUUGGUCUCAGAAACGGAGGAGGAGGGCAGCGUCCAACCUCUCAAAGCUGCUGCCAAACCUGGGGCGGUAGACCCAGCCGACAGCUCCAGUGACGACACCUCCAGCUCCAGUGACGAGACGGAUGUGGAGGUGAAACUGCCAGGGAAAAGCCCUCCUGCCAAGGCAACACCAGCCCCGGCCAGAGGAGGCACCGGAACCCCUGCCGGCCCGGCCGAGAGGCCUGAGCAGGAGGCCGACAGCAGCGAGGAGGAGUCGUCCGAGAGUGAGGAAGAGACCCCUGGGCAGGUCAAGGCCCCAGAGAAAAAGUUGCAGGUCCGAGCUGCAAAGCACCCCCCUACACACGCUGGACCCACCCAGGCCAAGGCAGGGAAGCCAGAGCAGGAUUCCGAGAGCGGCAGCGAGGAGGAGUCGAGCAGUGAGGAGGAGACAGCUGUGACCAGGGCUCCGCUACAGACAAAGCCCUCGGGGAAGGCCCCCCAGGUUAGAGCUGCCUCCGCUCCCACCAAGGGGUCCCCUGCCAAAGGUGCAGGCCCAGCACAGCCUGGGAAGAGCGGGCCUGCAGCUGGCCCAGCAGGAAGGCCGGAGGAAGACUCCGGGAGCAGCAGCGAGGAGGAUUCGGACAGCGAGGGGCCCACUCCGGCAGCUGUGGCCUCUGUCCAGGCAAAACCCCCUGGGAGAAACCUCCAGGCCAGACCUCCCACGGCACUGGCUGCUGGGCCUUCAGGGAAAGGGGCCAUCCUGGUGCCCCCUGGGAAGGCAGGGUCCGGAGUGUCCCGGGCCCAAGUGGGGCGGCCGGAGCAGACCUCAGAGAGCGACAGCAGCACCAGCAGCAGCGAGGAAGCCCCGACAGUUAGGACCCCCAUCCAGGCCAUGCCCUCAGGGAAAUCCCCCCAGGUCAGACCUGCCUCUGGGCCCACCAAAGGACCCCUGGGGAAAGGGGCGACCCCAGCGCCACCUCAGAAGUCAGCGCCUCUGGCCACUGAGGUCAAGACUGAGGGGCCCAAGGAAGAGUCAGAGAGCAGCGAGGAAGAAUCGGACAGCGAAGAGUCAGACAGCGAGGAGGAGGAGAAGGAGGAGGAGGCGCCAGCAGCCACGACACCAGCACAGGCAAAACCAGCCACGAAAAUCUCCCAGACCAAGGCCUCCCCAAGGAAAGGCCCUCCCAUCACUCCUGCAUCCCAAGGAAAGACCCCCCCAGUGCGAGUGGGCACCCCAACCCCCUGGAAAGCAGGAGUGGUGGCAUCUCCAGCCUGCUCAGCCUCCCCGGGUGUGGCCAGGGGCACCCAGAAGCCAGAAGAGGAGUCUUCCAGCAGCGAGGAGUCCGAGAGUGAGCCGGAGGUGGCACCUGCAGCCACAGCAAAACAGGUGAAGUCUGUGGGGAAAAGCCUGCCGGGGAAAGCUGUCCCGGCUCCUUCCAAGGGUCCCUCAGCCCCUGGCUCCACCCCGGUACCCCCUGGGAAGGCAGGGCUGGCUGCCACCGAGAUCAAGAAGGAGUCUUCUGAAGACUCUGAGGACAGCGAGGAGGAACCUGGGACCAAGACUCCAGCCCCGGUGAAGGCCCCAGGGAGAACUCUGACCAAAGCCAGCCCAGCUUCCCCCAGAGCACCGACGGUCAAAGGGAUAGCUGCCGCUCCUGGAAAAGCGCUCGCCGCAGGUGUUCAAGCCAAACUGGCAUCCCCAGCCAAGGUGAAGCCGCCGCCACCAGGGAGAAGCCUGCCAACCAGUGCUGCCUCGGCGCGCAGCCAGGUGUCUGCUCCAGCUGUGGAGAAGUCAGUGGCUGGAGCAGCUCAGGCCAAGCCAGGGGCAGCCAGGGGGUCCCAGGAAGAGGACUCGGAGAGCAGCAGCAGCAGCAGCAGCAGUGAAGAAGAGGCACCAACUCAGGUGAAGCCCUCAGGGAAAGCCCCCCAAGCCAGAGCAGCCGCAGCUCCCACCAAGGGGUCCCCUGCCAAAGGCACAGUCCCAGCUUGGCCUGGGAAGAGCAGGCCUGCAGCCAGCCCGGCAGAAAAACUGGAGGAAGACUCAGGGAGCAGCAGCAGCAGCGGCAGCAGCGAGGAGGAAUCGGACAGGGAGGCGCCUGCUGUGGUGGCUGGGACACCUGCCCAGGUGCGGCCUGUUGUGAAAACGCCCCAAUCCAAGGCCUCCCCAGGGAAAGGUGUCACGGUCACUCCUGUGUCCACCAAGGCCCCCGCAGCACGUGCAGACACACCAGCACCUUGGAAGGCUAAACCAGCCUCAUGCACUACGGCCAAGAAUCCAAAGACGCCAUCGUCAGGGGGUGCCGAGAUGGCUGGGUCUGUGGUGCAGAUCUUGUCCCCUCGGAAGGAGAGUGACUGCAAGCCUGCCAGAAGCAAGAGCCUGGUCCCAGCACCCCCUGAGGAGGAGCUGCCAUCAGGCCAGGUGAUUAAACCCCCUCUGAUUUUUGUCGACCCUAAUCGUAGUCCAGCUGGGCCAGCUGCUACCCCCUCACCAGCCCCACCCGCGAGCGCCCCCAGGAAGGCCUCAGAGAGCUCGGCCAGGAGCUCCUCCUCCAAGAGCGAGGAUGAGGACGUGGUUCCCGCCACCCAGUGCUCCACUCCUCCCGUCAUGAGGACCAAUGUGGUGCCCAUGCCCACCACCCGCCCAACGGCUGCCCCCAGAGCCAGCCUGGCCGGGGCCAGCAGCAGCGAGGAAUCCAGAGGGGUGGCCAGAGGCAAGCAGCAGAAGGCUCCAGCCACUCAGGUGACAAAGAGGAGCCCGGCUUCCCUCCCACUGACACAGGCCGCCCUGAAAGUCCUCGCUCAGAAAGCCAGCGAGGCCCAGUCUCCCACUGCCAGGAUCCAGCCGGCAAGUGGGGCUGGCAGCGCUCUGGGAAAGCCCCUGGGCCCAAAUGCCAAGAGCAGCCCCGCCCUUGCCCAAGGGGCCAGCAAGCUCAACACCCCCGAGCUUCUCCAGGGCCCUCCGGCCGCAGCCACUCCCUCGGGACGCCCCAAGGCCAAGGUCUCUGAGGCCAGCGAGGAUAGCAGUGACAGCUCUUCAGGGAGUGAGCAGGAUGCUGAAGCGGCCCCAGUGGCCAGGUUGGCCCACAAGCCAGGUCCUGUGCCCGCCAAGGAGACCCUGGUGGAAGAGACCACUGAUUCCAGUGAGGAUGAGGCUGUGGCGCCUUCCCAGUCUCUCCUCUCAGGUUACAUGAGCUCUGGGUCAAACCUGGAUAACUCACAGACUGCAAAGGCCACUUCCAGGGCGGGCCCCAACUCUUCAGCUCCCCCCACUCAAACCACCAAAGAUGCCCUGAAUCGAAAACUGGGAGCAGGGCCCCAACAAGGCAAGGCCACAGUGCCCCCUAAAACAGGCAGAAGAGAGGACACCAAGCCUCAGAAACCACGCAAGCCCAGCAAGGCUUCUGCAAGCCCCCCAGCUUCGACAUUGGCCCUGCAGAACGACAUCGCCCAGCGCCUCCUGGGCCAGCCCUGGCCCCUGAGUGAAGCCCACGUGCAGGCCUCCGUGGCGAAGGUCCUGGCGGAGCUGCUGGAGCAGGAGAGACACAAGGCCACCAAUGGUGCCCAGGACAGCAGCAAGAAGGCCGGGGGAGGCCGCAAGCGGAAGCUGUCGGAGGACCAGCCAGCCGCUGGCGUCCCCAAGAGCAAGAAGAAAAAGAAGUUGGGGGCCGAGGGGGGCGGGGAAGGGGCCGUGUCCUUAGAGAAGGCCCCUAGGACUUCCAAGGGGAAAUCAAAGCAGGACAAAGCAAGCGGCACUGCCAAGGAGAGGAAGGAGAAACCGGAAGGAGGUCUGGGAGCUGUGAAGGUGGAGGGCGGAGCCCAAGGCAGCCCUGGCAGCAAGAAGAAGUCCAGCAAGAAAAAAAAAGACAAGGGAAAAAAGGAGAAGAAGAAGAAGACAAAAAAGGCCUCCACCAAAGACCACAGCUCACCGCCCCAGAAGAAAAAGAAGAAAAAGAAUGGAAGAUGCAGCGGGUCCCCAGCUUUGGAUGUGCCGGGCUCUGCACAGGCUGGUGACUGUUCGGAUAGCGAGCGCUCCAUUGGCCAUGGUUGAGCAGGCUCAGAUCCCAGUCCCCAGGGAGGAAGAAGACUCCUGAGCAGACCGUGUGAGCGCAGAGCCGCAGGAACUUCCUAGUGGAGUGAUGACCAGCACCUCGCUUCUGGCCUUUGCCCAGCGUGUGGGUCGGAACUGCAUUGUAACUUCCCCUCCGUCCCCAGAAGAAACCAGAUUGCCCACAGCACAGCGUACCGCACGGCCAGCCCUGCAGAUAAGCUGGGGUGGUGGUGCGGGGGAGUGUGCCUGCUCCUGGGCCCUCCCUCGCCACCCCCAGUGCACAGGGCACCUCCCAGACACAGGGCAGCCUCGAGAUGUGUACAGUAUAUAUAUUUUUUUAACUGGCCUGCCUGCCCCCGAGCAGGCCAACAUGCCCAAAGCCUCAGACUUCCCCUGCCCUGCGGCCCCAGGAGGCCCCCCACCUGCAGCUCAGGCUGCUGCCACCUCUGGUCACGUUCCCCCAGGCUUUUUCUUUUCCUUUUUUAAGAACUACUCAGAAAAUAAAAGGUUUGAAGGCAAGGUGCAAAUGCCAGUGUGUUGCGG